rnacentral:rRNA from 1 species
GGUGUAGGUGGCGCGCUAAGUCGGGUGUGAAAUUUCGGAGCUUAACUCCGAAACUGCAUUCGAUACUGGCGUGCUUGAGGACUGGAGAGGAGACUGGAAUUCAUGGUGUAGCAGUGAAAUGCGUAGAGAUCAUGAGGAAGACCAGUGGCGAAGGCGGGUCUCUGGACAGUUCCUGACACUGAGACACGAAGGCCAGGGGAGCAAACG